rnacentral:rRNA from 2 species
UAAUAUGAGAGUUUGAUCCUGGCUCAGGACGAACGCUGGCGGCAUGCCUAAUACAUGCAAGUCGAACGAACCAUCCUGAAGAUUGAAGCUUGCUUCAUGAUUCAGACCUUGGUGAGUGGCGGACGGGUGAGUAACACGUGGGUAACCUGCCCAAAAGUGGGGGAUAACAUCUGGAAACAGGUGCUAAUACCGCAUAACAACUACUUUCUCAUGAUCGUAGCUUGAAAGAUGGCUCUGCUAUCGCUUUUGGAUGGACCCGCGGCGUAUUAGCUAGUUGGUGAGGUAAUAGCUCACCAAGGCAAUGAUACGUAGCCGACCUGAGAGGGUAAUCGGCCACAUUGGGACUGAGACACGGCCCAAACUCCUACGGGAGGCAGCAGUAGGGAAUCUUCCACAAUGGGCGAAAGCCUGAUGGAGCAAUGCCGCGUGAGUGAAGAAGGUUUUCGGAUCGUAAAACUCUGUUGUUGAAGAAGAACAUGCGUGAGAGUAACUGUUCACGUACUGACGGUAUUCAACCAGAAAGCCACGGCUAACUACGUGCCAGCAGCCGCGGUAAUACGUAGGUGGCAAGCGUUGUCCGGAUUUAUUGGGCGUAAAGAGAAUGUAGGCGGUUUAUUAAGUUUGAAGUGAAAGCCCUCGGCUCAACCGAGGAAGUGCUUCGAAAACUGGUAAACUUGAGUGCAGAAGAGGAAAGUGGAACUCCAUGUGUAGCGGUGGAAUGCGUAGAUAUAUGGAAGAACACCAGUGGCGAAGGCGGCUUUCUGGUCUGUAACUGACGCUGAGAUUCGAAAGCAUGGGUAGCAAACAGGAUUAGAUACCCUGGUAGUCCAUGCCGUAAACGAUGAGUGCUAAGUGUUGGAGGGUUUCCGCCCUUCAGUGCUGCAGCUAACGCAUUAAGCACUCCGCCUGGGGAGUACGAUCGCAAGAUUGAAACUCAAAGGAAUUGACGGGGGCCCGCACAAGCGGUGGAGCAUGUGGUUUAAUUCGAAGCAACGCGAAGAACCUUACCAGGUCUUGACAUACCAUGAAAAGCUAAGAGAUUAGUCUUUCCCUUCGGGGACAUGGAUACAGGUGGUGCAUGGUUGUCGUCAGCUCGUGUCGUGAGAUGUUGGGUUAAGUCCCGCAACGAGCGCAACCCUUAUUAUCAGUUGCCAGCAUUCAGUUGGGCACUCUGGUGAGACUGCCGGUGACAAACCGGAGGAAGGUGGGGACGACGUCAAAUCAUCAUGCCCCUUAUGACCUGGGCUACACACGUGCUACAAUGGUCGGUACAACGUGCUGCGAACUCGCGAGGGUAAGCAAAUCACUUAAAACCGAUCUCAGUUCGGAUUGUAGGCUGCAACUCGCCUACAUGAAGCUGGAAUCGCUAGUAAUCGCGGAUCAGCAUGCCGCGGUGAAUACGUUCCCGGGCCUUGUACACACCGCCCGUCACACCAUGAGAGUUUGUAACACCCAAAGUCGGUGGGGUAACCCUUCGGGGAACUAGCCGCCUAAGGUGGGACAAAUGAUUAGGGUGAAGUCGUAACAAGGUAGCCGUAGGAGAACCUGCGGCUGGAUCACCUCCUUUCUAAGGA